rnacentral:rRNA from 1 species
AGAGUUUGAUCAUGGCUCAGGAUGAACGCUGGCGGCGUGCCUAACCCAUGUAAGUCGAGCGAUCUGUUAGCAAUAGCAGAGAGCGGCGGAAGGGUGAGUAACACGUAGGAGACCUACCUUGGCGCAGGGAACAACUUCGCGAAAGCGGAGCUAAUACCCAAGAGGCUCGAUGAUUCAGUUUGUCGAGGAGAGUGGCCCCGCAAGGGGUUGCGCGCGAAGAGGGUCCUGCGGCCCAUCAGCUAGUUGGUAGGGUAACGGCCUACCAAGGCGAAGACGCGUAGCUGGUCUGAGAGGAUGAUCAGCCACACUGGGACUGAGACACGGCCCAGACUCCUACGGGAGGCAGCAGUGGGGAAUAUUGGACAAUGGGCGCAAGCCUGAUCCAGCCACGCCGCGUGAGUGAUGAAGGCCUUCGGGUCGUAAAGCUCUGUGGGGAGGGACGAACCGCUGCUGGUUCAUAGCCAGCAGCAUGACGGUACCUCCUUAGCAAGCACCGGCUAACUUCGUGCCAGCCGCCGCGGUAAUAC